UUUGGCAGAAUGGUCCGAAAA
rnacentral:piRNA from 1 species